GGAUGUGAAGGUGAUCUGGCUGUGACAUGUGACACCCCAUUGCUUGCCAGGGUUGAUUGGGCUGAUCUGGCUGGCUAGGCAGGGGUCCCCUUCCUUCCUCCUCCAUGUGUGUCCCUACAGAAGCUGUGUGCUCUGUCGAUGAGGACAACCUUCCCCAAAUUGAGGAGGACCGUUCUUUGGUCAAGGGUACAAGAGUAGCUGUGCUCCCAUGCUAGAACCUCCAAACAAGCUUUCCAGGUCCUUUGGGUUUUCCUUUAUUGUUGGUUUGGUUUUCUUUUUUUCUUUUCGAGACAGGGUUUUUCUGUUGCUU
rfam:Cricetulus griseus cell line CHO-K1, whole genome shotgun sequence.